rnacentral:tRNA from 4 species
GGAGGAUUGGCCGAGUGGUAAGGCACCGGCUUGGCUCAAGCCGUGGUCGGGUGAGAGCCCGCGCACGUUCGAUCCGUGCAUCCUCCG